rnacentral:rRNA from 1 species
UGAACGCUGGCGGCGUGCCUAAUACAUGCAAGUCGAGCGAACAGACGAGGAGCUUGCUCCUCUGACGUUAGCGGCGGACGGGUGAGUAACACGUGGAUAACCUACCUAUAAGACUGGGAUAACUUCGGGAAACCGGAGCUAAUACCGGAUAAUAUAUUGAACCGCAUGGUUCAAUAGUGAAAGACGGUUUUGCUGUCACUUAUAGAUGGAUCCGCGCCGCAUUAGCUAGUUGGUAAGGUAACGGCUUACCAAGGCAACGAUGCGUAGCCGACCUGAGAGGGUGAUCGGCCACACUAGAACUGAGACACGGUCCAGACUCCUACGGGAGGCAGCAGUAGGGAAUCUUCCGCAAUGGGCGAAAGCCUGACGGAGCAACGCCGCGUGAGUGAUGAAGGUCUUCGGAUCGUAAAACUCUGUUAUUAGGGAAGAACAAAUGUGUAAGUAACUAUGCACGUCUUGACGGUACCUAAUCAGAAAGCCACGGCUAACUACGUG